rnacentral:rRNA from 1 species
GAUCAUGGCUCAGAUUGAACGCUGGCGGCAGGCCUAACACAUGCAAGUCGAACGGUAACAGAAAGCAGCUUGCUGCUUUGCUGACGAGUGGCGGACGGGUGAGUAAUGUCUGGGAAACUGCCCGAUGGAGGGGGAUAACUACUGGAAACGGUAGCUAAUACCGCAUAACGUCGCAAGACCAAAGAGGGGGACCUUAGGGCCUUUUGCCAUCGGAUGUGCCCAGAUGGGAUUAGCUAGUAGGUGGGG